CCUACGGGAGGCAGCAGUCGGGAAUUUUGGGCAAUGGGCGAAAGCCUGACCCAGCAACGCCGCGUGAAGGAUGAAAUCCCUCGGGAUGUAAACUUCGCAAGAACAGGAAGAAUAAGUAGGGGACAAUACCCCCUAUGAUGACGGUACUGUUUGUAAGCUCCGGCUAACUCCGUGCCAGCAGCCGCGGUAAU
rnacentral:rRNA from 1 species